rnacentral:rRNA from 5 species
CGAACUCAGAAGUGAAACGCCGUAGCGCCGAUGGUAGUGUGGGGUCUCCCCAUGCGAGAGUAGGGAACUGCCAGGC